CUCCAAUUUUGAAAACCGCCUUCCGGCGUGUUGUAAGUAAAGUGGUUAGACGCUUUUUAAUAAGUCCCUUUGGAACAGGGCGCCAUAGAGGGUGAUAGCCCCGUAUUAAAUUGUCUAGUGUGCUACUUUAGAGCGAGUCGAGUUGUUUGGGAAUGCAGCUCAAAUAGGUGGUAAACUCCAUCUAAAGCUAAAUAUUGCUGGGAGACCGAUAGCGAACAAGUACAGUGAUGGAAAGAUGAAAAGCACUUUGAAAAGAGAGUGAAAUAGCGUGUGAAAUUGUUGGAGGGGAAGGCGAUGGUAGGAAUAAGAGGCUGCGGUUUGAAAUAAUUAUUUUUCGGGCCACGGUCUCCUGAGCCUGCUUUCGCACC
rnacentral:rRNA from 1 species